AACACGAGGACGAUUCUUCCAGAUUCCUCGGGACGACGGGGAUCCGCCAUUGGUGCACAGCACCGGAGAAGUGGUAUAGCUGAUUGUUUGUGGAUAGUGUGUGACUGGAAAGCGAUGGAUCGAUAAAUAUGCGCUUGCUCCGUCCGGCGCGCCGGAGACACACACAGAGACUCGUGUGUCUCCAAACUAGUUUUAAGGAGGCAUGCAUGCAUGCGAGCACGAUGCAGGAUCGCGAUCAGUCGCGAUGUAACCGUAGCGUGAAACGGCCUCGCACCAGGCCACCGGGUGACCACCAUCAGAUGCUCGACGUAGGCUGAUCUCGCGCCGUACAACCGAUCACCGGGCACGAAGCCGGCGAGCAACGACCUGAACAGAAGGGGCCCGACGGAGGGCUUUGGCCUUCAAAACGACGGGAGUCCACCUAAAACGGCGUCUACGGACCCAGCGAUUCUUCGUGGGAAGAGGCUGUUUACCUUUCAUCAACUGGAUGAUUCAUAUUUUGAUUUUCACCGUGAUUAACCGCGAUACUUGGGCAAAUCUAAUCAAGGAAGAUUCAAAGGAAGAUGACACAAUUAUGUAAUUUACGUCACUUAUGUCUUAAAAUAUAACCCCUGCCGUCGUUGUCAACGGCGCGAGCCUUAUCAUUCUAAAAAAAAAUGGGUAUAUAUUUACUGCUGCGAGUUUCACACAGCCUUCAGUAGAAAGAUGAUAGAGGACCAGGUGCGUCAACAUCCGGCACGAGUGCCGCCCGACAAGCCGCAACUGCCUCAAACUGCCAGUGUCAGCGUCAAGUUCGAAAAUGAGCAAUGUAAGGAGCCCCUGCUUCCGGAGAAGCAGAACUCCCACAGAAUGACACCGACCGACGGCCGUUCACGGACCACCUCCGAGUCGAAGGAAACCACCACCAAUGGGCAAGCGGCCGCGACGAAUUGUACCACCGAGGACAAUCUCGAGGUGACCAUCUUUGACGAUGAUGCGGAUGGCGGCCGGUUGCCGGACGUUGUCGCCGAGAUCUACAGCGUGGCUGAUGAGAACGAGCCGCUCGAGUCGUACUUAGCGAUCACCAUCCAGGUUUUCAUACCCUUCCUCAUCGCCGGCUUGGGCAUGGUGGGCGCCGGAUUGGUCCUCGACGUGGUUCAACACUGGGUAGUCUUCGAAAAAGUCAACGAGCUUAUGAUUCUGGUACCGGCACUUUUAGGACUAAAGGGUAAUUUAGAAAUGACUCUUGCAUCGCGUCUUUCUACUCAAGCGAAUCUCGGACACAUGGACUUGCCGAAAGAGCAAUGGCGUAUGAUCAUUGGAAAUCUCGUUUUAAUACAGUGUCAAGCGAUAGUGGUGGGCUUCCUUGGAUCCGUGGUGGCGAUUGUAAUGGGUGCCUUUCGCAACGGCACGGUCUCUUUAGAUCACGCCUAUCUACUGUGCGCCAGCAGUCUGGUCACCGCAUCCCUCGCUUCCUUCGUUUUGGGCCUUAUUACCGCGGGCGUUAUCGUCUUCUCCCGUCAUUGUCAUAUCAAUCCGGACAACGUAGCCACGCCAAUAGCCGCCAGUUUAGGUGACAUCACAUCGCUGGCUCUCCUCUCGUGGAUCGCUACCGUACUUUACGAGAGCAUAGACAAGCAAGACUGGGUAGCGCCCCUCGUCAUAUCCUGUUACGUCCUGGUGACACCGCUCUGGGUGUGGAUCGCCAAGAGGAACAAGUACACCAACGAUGUGCUCUAUUUUGGCUGGACCCCAGUCAUGGUGGCUAUGUUGAUCAGCAGUUGCGGCGGUCUUAUACUUGAGUUCAUGGUAUCACGUUUCGAGAAUUUGACGGUCUUCCAACCGGUCAUCAAUGGCGUCGGUGGAAAUCUGGUGGCCGUCCAAGCCAGUAGGAUAUCAACGGCCCUUCACAAACAAGCUGAGCUCGGCACGCUUCUAAUCCCACCCGGUCACACGCAUCCCGUAAUCUUUAUCACGCCUAUAGCCAAUUUUUUCGGAAAAGGUAUGCAUGCUAGGACAACGAGAGUUCUGAUGACAAUGGUGAUACCGGGUCACAUCAUCUUUAUUUACCUGAUUAAUUACAUGAAGGAUGGCAACACGUCGAUGACGCCACUUUUCAUCUUUGUUUAUCUCUGCGCGGCGAUGCUGCAGGUCGCGGCGCUUCUCUACAUCGCUUUCAUAAUGAUCCACUGGAUGUGGAAGCGGAAGAUUGAUCCUGACAAUUCGGCGAUCCCGUACUUGACCGCGAUGGGUGACUUACUCGGAAUCAGCCUGCUGGCGAUUGCCUUCCAAUUUUUGUACCUGGUCGGAGAUCAAGAUUUCGACGCGCCCUGACCGUAAUAAGACUAAUUUUGGUGUGACUAUGAGCAUAGUAGACGUCGACAAUGGAAGUCAGAAUUCUUGCAUUUUCUGGCGGGCGUAACGCACGAGUGAACAUAGUCGGCUCGAAAAGGUAUCUCUACAAGGCUGUGAUCGUCUGAAAGUAUAUCCUAUUGAAUCCAAUCUUCGAUUUGUCAUCGACGAUUUAAUCGGAAAGUCACAACGAUAUUAUUUAACAUGAUGUUAAAGAUCUAUUAUACUUUCAUUUUAUAUAAUUUUUUAAAUCAAUUAACACUUUCGUAUUAAUUACUAAUAUCAUAACAAUGUAACAUCACAUAAAUUUCCAGGCUGCUAUAAAUGCAACUUUAAUUAUAUGAACGAAGUUUAUAAUGAAGCGUAUAAAUGAUAACUAUAUGCCGAUUAGCGAUGUCAACUGUGCUUAUAGUCGCACAAAAAUUAGUCUUACUUAUAGAAUAUACUAUAUACGAAAAAAGAAUUGAAAUUAUGCAAAUAUACAAAUGCGAUAAUUGAAGCUUAGGAUCUAAAGUUGAUAUAGAGACGCGUGCGCAGUUGUUAAGAAAAUAUAAUCACACAAAUUUCGCUCGAUUAACUGUAUCGAGCUAUCAUUAGUUAAUUGCAAAUUAUGCGCAAGGAACGCAAGGAUGAACCUUGAUGAAAUUGUGCACGGUGGAGGUAGCAUUGUUUCGAGGAAAUGCAAUGACAAGUAGCAUUUCAAAUCUAAAAUGUGCAUUUACAAUUAGUUGACGCGCCUCGUUGACGAUUACCUCUGACAUCGUGCGAAUAAUUUAAUUUACAUAGCGACAUAAUCUUAUAACAUGUAGUACGACACGUUUUUGUGUUCAACAACAAAGAGGUUUUAAUGUUCGCAGCGACACUUGGGUCGAAAAUAAUUUCGCUCGAUACAUUUGUCAGCUUAUACAACAUAUAGUACACUGUAUAGUAUUGUAAAUUAAGAUAUUCCAUUAAGCAGAAUGCGUCGUUAUAUUUCCAUGUACAUAUUAUAGUGUAAUGUACGUAUUUUACGUGCAUUGUGUACAGGCGCCAUAUCGGAGACUAAUAUUUAGCCUUCGUGACAGGAGUGGGAUUCGCAUCCGAAUCGAUACCGCCUUUCAGUACAUACAUGUUCAGUAUUAUCGCUUAUUAUUACUAUUGCCUAAAACAUUGCGACUAGCAGAUAUCCGCAGAUUCCGCUGAGAGAAACACCUCACACGCCCUUUUUUGGCAUGUGUAUUUUGCAGCCAACUGCGUUCAAGUCGAUCCGAUUAAAAUAGCACAAUGCACUAAUACGAGAAAAAAAUUUAUAGUACGGUGCAUUGCAACCGCGUUACACGAUUAACAGCGCUUGAAUUGAUUUAACGUUUUCUGUCGAAUUAUUUUAUUAUCACUUGGCUCUAUGAUAAGCAUAAUACCGUGAAUUAAAUAAACUGAAAAUUGUAUUCGUUUAUUUGUAAACGUUAAUUUUUUUAGAUUGUGCAUAUAUAUUUUGUUGUACAAGUAUUUUAUUGAUUAUUCAUUAUUUGUAAUGCCAUAGCAAAUGUUACUUCUUUCAUUUUAUAAAACAAUAAAAUUUUUCUAUAUAUCUGUUAAUUUUGACGAGCACAAUGAUCGUAUUAUAAGAGGAAACGUGCUAUAAAUACGCAGACAAUAAUAUGCGGAUGGAUAUAUAAAGAGGACGGAUAUAUAAAGUAUUUUGUAAAACGUUGAACAAAUAUACAGGAUUUCUUGUACAAAGCUAAUUUUUACAAAUAAAGUAAAAACACUAUAUA
rnacentral:misc_RNA from 1 species